rnacentral:rRNA from 1 species
GUGGGGAAUAUUGCGCAAUGGGGGAAACCCUGACGCAGCAACGCCGCGUGGAGGAUGAAGGUUUUCGGAUUGUAAACUCCUUUGAUGAGGGACGAAAAAUGACGGUACCUCAAAAACAAGCCACGGCUAACUACGUGCCAGCAGCCGCGGUAAUACGUAGGUGGCGAGCGUUGUCCGGAAUUACUGGGUGUAAAGGGCGUGUAGGCGGGAUUUUAAGUCAGAUGUGAAAUUCUGAGGCUCAACCUCAGAGCUGCAUCUGAAACUAAGAUUCUUGAGUGCUGGAGAGGAUAGUGGAAUUCCUAGUGUAGCGGUGAAAUGCGUAGAUAUUAGGAGGAAUAUCAAAAGCGAAGGCGAUCUGCUGGGAUGAUACUGACGCUGAGGCACGAAAGCGUGGGGAGCAAACAGGAUUAGAAACCCGUGUAGUCC